rnacentral:tRNA from 1 species
AGAGCAUUAAAACUGCGUAUUAAGUAUCCACAAUUAUCGAUUGUUAAAAUAGCUAUAAUUGUCAGUAAGCGCUGGUUAUGACAGAUUCCCUAUUAAUUGCAUUGUAUAAUGCAAUUAAUAUAAAUAUGGGUCUGUAGCUCAGCUGGUUAGAGCACCGUCUUGAUAAGGCGGGGGUCGUUGGUUCAAGUCCAACUAGACCCACCAUAAUGUUUGAGUAAAACCUUUCGAUAUUUUGGGGGUGUAGCUCAGUUGGGAGAGCGCCUGCUUUGCAAGCAGGAGGUCAUCGGUUCGAUCCCGUUCACCUCCACCAUAUAUAGAGUUUAAAUUUUAUACAUAAAAGCUUAUGCAUAAAAUUUAAGCUUUAUCAAAUAAGCUAUUUGUUCUUUAAAAAUCUAGAAGAAGCAACAACGAAAAGAUGUCUAUUAUUAGUAAUAGACAUAGGGUUGUGAUUGCAAAAAAGUUCCAAGUUUAAUUGGAAUAUUCAUAAACAUUCAAAUAUAAUCAUUUAUCUUAUAUAGC